rnacentral:rRNA from 1 species
UACAGAGGGGGCAAGCGUUGUUCGGAAUUACUGGGCGUAAAGGGCGCGUAGGCGGCCUGUUAAGUCGGACGUGAAAUCCCUCGGCUUAACCGGGGAACUGCGUCCGAUACUGGAGGCUUGAGUGUGGGAGAGGGAUGCGGGAUUCCAGGUGUAGCGGUGAAAUGCGUAGAUAUCUGGAGGAACACCGGUGGCGAAGGCGGCAUCCUGGACCAACACUGACACUGAGGAGCGAAAGCCAGGGGAGCAAACGGG